GGCCUUCACCUCUGGGGAGCAGGAGGACAAAGGGGUGGAAACGCCUGCAUGGGGCGGCAGCUGCAGUGAGGCACCAGCUUGUCCUUGUUUCCAUCUCCGUGCUCCUUGGAGAGGUGCACUGGGCAGUGCGCGCCACACUUGGCCAGCUCCUGCAGGCUCCUGGCUUCCGAGGUGCCCAGCUCCCACGAGCGUGCCAGCCCACUCUCCAAAACUUCCUGUCCAGCCCCCAACAGUGUCUGAGGGACAGUGAACUGGCCCCGUUUAAAAAGUUUGAGGACCCCUGGAUUAGAUGGUCCUUGGGGUCUUUUCCAACUCUACAAUUCUGUGAUUCUAAGUAAGUAGGUCAGCAUAAGGAGUGAGCUUACAGAGAUCAGUUUAUUUUUAAUCUGAUUUCUCUUUUUUAUUCUUAAUAAAAAUUCAUAUAAUUUGGCUGUUGGGUGCUGAAGUGUGGUUUUGCAAAACACUACGGUUCGGAUAAUAUCCCACAUACCUGGCCACUGGGCAUAUGCCGCUAGGGCAAAAAAGGAGGUUUCAUCGAGAAAAGAGCAGGCUGCGUGGAAUCCUAGGGUGGGAGAGGCAGCUGGAUGCCAGCCCUGUUGUCCUGAGUAAACUGAGAGGAAUCUGGCUAGGAAACACAGAGUGCAUUGUCUUGGGAGCCUGGGUUUUUAGUAUUUUACAGUUCUGUCUCAUCUGUGAGCUAUAAGUGUGAAAGGGAGUGGUUGUGGCAGUGAGUAGCUGGCCGGAGGCAGCUGGCCAACCCUACAGGGCAGUUUUGCAGCAGUUGCACAAGGAAGGGCAUAAGUAGGCUCUCCUAGCCUUUCCCCUUCCAUUAUAGAACAAAGGCUUGUUCUUGGUCUACAGCUUGAACCUGGGUUUGGACCUCCUGCUGAUCAAGCCAAACCAUGGCUCAGCACUGAGCAGCAGGAGAGCCUGGGGAGGAAGGCAGCAGCUGCAAUCUCCUCUCCUGCAACCCGCACAUUACGUGCAGUCUGGGUCUAUUAUAUUUUGCUUGGGAGGGAUGAGAAAGUUUUGAAUUUUUAUAUCUUAUUAAGUUUUUUUGUUUCAGCGAAGGUUGAUUACACUGACAGAGGAAUAAGAAUGUAUUUCUAUGCUGAUAGUUCCACCCUUGGGAACUCGAGCUCUUAAAUCAUCUGCUUAAAUAUGCAUGUGUGCAUUUCUCUUAUGUUUUUACCACAUGCAAAGGUUGGAAAAAUAAUCUGUGUCUUAAAUAAGAGGGGGGAAAUGGAACAAAAACAAACAGCAAGCAAAAGAGAAAAAAGAGAGGACAUGCACACAGUGAGAAGAAUGUCAAGAGUUAAUCCCUGGUGUAAUACACUGGAGGGUAAAUUCAUGUUGUCAGAGGAACAGUUCAUGCAAGAUUUAUGUGUCCCCCCCACCCUCCGGUGAACUUUAAGGUAAACCUCAGCCGGCGACUGCUGCAUUCCUCAUAAACCCCUAGCACAGCCCGCUGCUGCUUUUCCAAACUGCUUUCUCAUUAUUCAAUAGCACAUUUUUCCACAGCAUUCUGCUCUUGUUAAUACUUGCUUGCUGCAAUUUUUUUUUAAGUUCUGCAGUAAAAACACCUGUGUUUUAUUAAGACUCAAAAAUUGUGUUCCGCCUCCUUAUUUUGACUGCAGUGGCAUUAACCCUUUCAGAAGUAUGCUUUGGAGGGCUGCUGCUGAAUCCAAAAAGAAAGGCGCUUAAAAGAAGAAUGGGCCAUCAGAGAAAGUGACACAGGAAAGCAUGGUUUUGUGUGGGGCUGGGGUAACUAUGGCCUUGUGUAAUGCUUGCUGCCAUAUCACAAAGUGAAGCUUGGGUGAAUGAAGGAACCCAAAGGUGUGAUCUUGCAACAGAAGGAAAGGCAGGGAUGGGGCUAGCAAACUGCAGGUUGACUACGGCCUGGUUUGCACAUCAUGGCAAGUGAAAAUAUAGCUUACAACAGGUGUGCAGAGCCUUUGGCCCUCCAGAGGUUGCUGAACUACAAUUUCCAUCAUUCUUGGCCAUGGGCUAUGCUGGCUGGAGCUAAUGGGAGUUGAAGUUCAGCAACAGGGUCAAAGAUUCCUCGUUCCCUGCUUACCAGGCCUACUCAAAUGUGUGGAUUCCCAUAGAGGCCCCUAUAGCUGAUUUGUUUAUUUGUCUCUUUUUUUACUUGCACUGAAACUGGGACUCAUGUUUAAACUCUCAGCUCUCUGGGAGUCUGCAUGCUUGUGUAGUCCCAGUAGACCACCAUUUGGCUUACUGUGACAUGAGAACCAGCUCAGUGAAAGGAAAUCUGUGGUGAUGUGGGACAGGUGAGAAAGGAGGGCAAGGCCUCAGAGGCUGUGGAGUCAUUGCGACAUUUUAGUAAAAGUGAGCUCUGAGAGAAAGAAUGCAAAAGUGCUUAAGGCUGAUGACCUAAUCUUUGCCUUCUUAGUACAAAGAGUCAGAUGGGUGCAAGACAGAAAGACGUGAUCCUUGUGCUGUCAGAUCUGUUCAAAUCAAACAACCGCAUGCACCCAGAAUCAGGGAAAUACGCCUCCUGUAGCAGCAAACAGAAGCAGGAGAAAGUCUUGUGCAGAUGUAUCCCUACGGCUGGAGUGCAAGGAAUGUUGGCAAAAUGAAUUCUUCUUGAGAUAGGAUGAGUCCAGGACUCAAGGCAUGAAGGAGCCCCUACAAGAAUCGAAAACCUCUCACCUCCAGUUCCUUGACAGCUUAAUGGAUGUAGGUAACAGAAAGUUUUAAAAGCUUGUGAUUUUCCAGUUGGAGAUAUAAACUCCAGCAAGCAAAUUGCAGGUAGGGUGAAUUUCUUCUGUACCAGCACCUCCCUGCCUCGUGCCUCUCUCUACCCUCUCACCCCAGGCAUUCUUUGCUGCUCGUGUUUAUAUUUCAGAAACCAUAUGCCAAAAAGGAAUCCCCUUUCAGCAGUAAAUAGGUCCAGGAGAAACUAACUCAGCAAUAGUCAAGCAAGAGACUGGCUAUAUGAGUAUAACUUUUCUAUUUUUUAUGACACUAUUUAGGAUUAGGGAAAAUUAGAAAGAAAGGAAGUUCUUUUUUUCCAUUUCCCCACUUUUUGUUGAGCACAAUUGGCCAGGUGUGUUUCUCCUGGCAACUCUUUACUAGGCCUUUUGAAGGCCUAUGGGGAAAUGUUUCCUCAGUCCCACUUUGUAUAAAUACACAUUUAGGUAUUAGUGCUUCUUUAAUUUUUAUUGUUCAAGUUCUAUGGAACUCCUUGCUACAAUAAUUCAGAAUUCUGUGGUGACUUUUUUUUUUUUUUGCUGUGACCCAUUCCCUUAGAAUGCUUUUAAAACCUCCUAGUAGCUUAGUAUAAUAGGUUUAGGUGUGAGAUUGACUCCCACACUGGAGAAAGAAUGAACUAUUAGCUAAGAUGGUUCAUUAAAGGGAUAUUUUGUACAUUAAAAUACUGACGUUUACUAUAGGGUCUUGAUUAUUGUUUCUAAGAACUCAAUAGAUUUGGAUGCUGAAACCUGCCUAUCAGAGGCAUUUACUUCAGGUCCAAUUACCUAAAGCUCUAACCCAGCCAAAUUCACUCAAAACUCGGUCCAGUAACUGGAUACAAUCUGCUUCUGACACCAAAUUUCCUCCAGGUGUACUUAUGACUGCCUGGACAGUUUAGCUUUACACAUCGACAGCCUGUUAGUCUAAUACAGCCACUGGCUCCCUUCCUUUGAUACUGACCAGCAAAGUAUAGUUAUCACACUGGGCAGGACUAGCUUAGACCUCAGCUAUCCCACUUUGCCUCAGCUUUUACUGGUCUUAGCCAUCAUCAACUGACUUUCCCAACUGGCGUUCUUUCUCCACACUUGACAGUUAACUGUCCUUUUUUCACUGCCUAGGACUGCCAGCCAAUCAGAAUCUGUAGCUUCUUGAAGGAGAAAAGAAAAGCAGAAAUUUGCUUUCCACUCAGUAUCACAGAUGCCCUCUCUUCCCUGCCAUGUGUUCCUGAAACCUGGGACUGUUCCAAAUCUUAAACAUACUGGAAAGCAUAUCCUUAGGCCAGCUGUGAUCUGAUCAUGCUGUAAUGAAUGAGAGAAAACAAAAACCAACACAGAGCUGGGCAAACAAUAGGGCUCCUUGUUCUAGCCUGGAAGUGAUCUUCAUCCUCCAUACCCCUCUCUCCAUCAAAGCAUCCCGCAAAAAGCAAGAUUCUGAGAGGGUUAUGCAAUAUGCCCUGGGUGAUCCUUUCGUGACUAAAGUGGCCUGUGUUGUUUUGGAGCCAUCACAAAGGAUGCAAGAUCAAUAGGGCAAUUCUGUGCAUGUUUACUCAGAAGUCACCAAGUUCAGUAAGACUUACUUCCAAGUAAGUGUCUGCAAAGGGGCAUCGUCUCCGUAGAAAUGCAUAAGCUACCAUCUCCAAAUUUUCAGUAUUCGUAUAAAAGGAAAAGUCCUCUUUCUUAUGGAGAUGGAGAGGAGGGGCGAAGAUGUAGGAUUCUAUGUAACAAGACAGCUCUAAUAAGGAGGAGCGAGAAGAAUGGGACAUGUCAUAAAAACUGCUGAACCAGCUCCCUGAUUCCGCUCACACCUCAAGAAAAAAGGGGGAAAGUAUCUGUAGAUCCAGAGAAACUGACUGAAUCUGCCAUCAUGGACAAAAACAUACUCUUACCAGUGCUGAACUUUCUCCCCCAAAUGAAAAGGGCUGUAGCAUCUCCAACUUAGUUACCCAAAGCACUUUCUUUCUAUCUAAUUACAAUAAAAGAAAAAAUGACAAACUAUUAUGGCUUGUGAGUAGAUUCUGAAUGUAAAUUUGUCGUUUGGGAUUACCAGUGCUUCAACAAUUGGCCAACGUGCCUGCUAUAGGAAAGGAAAUAAUUAAUUGCUUCCCCUCCCUGUAAUCACUGCAGAAGGAAUAGAUCAACAUGGGGCGGGGGUGGAAUUACCCCCUAAUCACCAAGUACUGCACCCCAAAGGCCUUAGAAGAGGCUGUCACAUUUAAGCUAUGUGAAUUUAGGGAUCAUGGUGGACUAAUUUCCUAAUAAAAUAAACUCUUUGCCUAACAGUACCUGCAACUGAAAAGCGUAUUUAUCUCUAGCAUGGUAGCUAGAUGUUGGUAUUAGAUGUAGGAAACUCAAGGCUCAAAUCCCUCCUUAGCUAUGAAGGUUCUUAGCUAUGCCAAGGCAGUAGUUCACAGGAUAUGGCAUAAAAGCUUACAAACAGCACUGUAAGAUGACUGAUCCCUUGCACAAAAGAGGUACUGGAAUAGUACUCCCCAUAGCUGUCAACAUUUCCCUUUUUAAAAGGGAAAUUCCCUUAUUCCGAAUAGGAUUCCUCGCAAGAAAAGGGAAAAGGUGACAGCUAUGGUACUCCCCCCUCCCCAAUUAUUAAAGCAGCAAGGAGACUGCAUAAUAAUUGGUAAAUAAUAGUUUGGCUUUGCUCAGUGCUAUUUUUCCAGAAAAAGAGGAAGAUGGUAGUUCCCGCCAGUCCCAAUUUUAAAUUCUGGCCAAUCAAGCCAGGCCUUGGAGGUGGGGCUUGGCAGCAGACCGGAGUGGAGCAGGUUUCACUCUGGUCCGCUCUCUGGCCUUAAAAAGCCAGCUGCCCCUGACCUCAGGACUGUGAUCAACUGAAGAGCACCCCCUCCCAUCCCUCCCUCAUAUUCAUGCUUUGCGGCUUGUUCUAUAGUAACGGUUUCUCUUCUAGGCUAUGCCAUUAUGGCUUUGCUGUGGUUCUUUAAUUGUUUGCUGUGGUUCUCUUUGGAGCCAGGAUGGAAUUUACCGGCAAACAGAUUUGCCCCAUUUGCAGGUUUUGGCUUCCCCAUAGCAAUAGUCACAACUUUGGUGGGUCUGGGCAUUGGGGUGGAAUCCUUCGUCUUACAUUGGGGUGAAGUGGUGCCUCAUCCCCACCUCUGAACAGCUCAAUCACAGGGGUACCCCAUUGGAAGGGUCUAGUUGGAAGUCUCUGUCCAAAAUCCAAGGCGUGCGGCAGAUGGGUCAUAGAGCUUCUUUCAGUGACAAGGGAGGGCGAUCCGUAUAAUUCUGCAUCUUGUGAUGGACCCAGUAUCCCAUGAUCGACUCUCAUGCCUCAGCCCUCCACCAGUAGGCUGGGAGGAUCACACACCCAAUACUUAAGUCAAAUCUUACCUACAUCUGGAAUUGUGGCCAAUUUCAAAUCCCAAAACGUUUCCUUGUCCAGUUUGUUCACCUUAGACUAGGUCUUGCUCCCGGGGAAGGGGUCACUGUAAGUGGGACCACAAUUGAAUCCUCAUCUGUUAUACUGGCACUAGGAAAGUGAGUAGCAAAGUCUUGCAGCAUUUUGUCUUAACAUGUAAGUCAAUUUCUUAAUGCCUUCAGAAAAUGCUUCUAUUUGCCUCAUGGUAACUUCUGAAUCCUCCAUCUGUUUCAGUCUGUCUAGAUCAUCACCAUCAUAUACUCUGAUAUCUAAACCAGGCUUAAACCAUUUCUUUGAUCCAAUUCCAGGUGCCUGUCCCAAAUCCAUCAAACAUGCAUACACUUCCCCAUCUUCCUGCUUCUUCUUCCUUAAAUUUCCACAGCUACUAAAAGCAACUUUCUUUUCUUCAAUUUAGCUGUACA